rnacentral:rRNA from 1 species
AAUAGAUACCCUGGUAGUCCACGCCGUAAACGAUGAGUGCUAAGUGUUAGAGGGUUUCCGCCCUUUAGUGCUGCAGCUAACGCAUUAAGCACUCCGCCUGGGGAGUACGGCCGCAAGGCUGAAACUCAAAGGAAUUGACGGGGGCCCGCACAAGCGGUGGAGCAUGUGGUUUAAUUCGAGGCAACGCGAAGAACCUUACCAGGUCUUGACAUCCCCUGCCAACCCUAGAGAUAGGGCGUUCCCCUUCGGGGGACAGAGUGACAGGUGGUGCAUGGUUGUCGUCAGCUCGUGUCGUGAGAUGUUGGGUUAAGUCCCGCAACGAGCGCAACCCUUGAUCUUAGUUGCCAGCAUUCAGUUGGGCACUCUAAGGUGACUGCCGGUGACAAACCGGAGGAAGGUGGGGAUGACGUCAAAUCAUCAUGCCCCUUAUGACCUGGGCUACACACGUGCUACAAUGGAUGGUACAAAGAGCUGCGAACCCGCGAGGGUAAGCCAAUCUCAUAAAGCCAUUCUCAGUUCGGAUUGUAGG